rnacentral:misc_RNA from 1 species
GAUGAAGAACGCAGCGAAAUGCGAUAAGUAGUGUGAAUUGCAGAAUUCAGUGAAUCAUCGCAUCUUUGAACGCACAUUGCGCCCUUUGGUAUUCCAAAGGGCAUGCCUGUUCGAGCGUCAUUUGUACCCUCAAGCUUUGCUUGGUGUUGGGCGUCUUGUCUCUAGCUUUGCUGGAGACUCGCCUUAAAGUAAUUGGCAGCCGGCCUACUGGUUUCGGAGCGCAGCACAAGUCGCACUCUCUAUCAGCAAAGGUCUAGCAUCCAUUAAGCCUUUUUUUCAACUUUUGACCUCGGAUCAGGUAGGGAUACCCGCUGAACUUAAGCAUAUCAAUAAGCGGAGGA